ACAACCGAGGUGCAAAGGCUGUCGCUGACCCUCAAAGGUUGUGCACGCCCGAGCGCUCUCACACAAUCCAUCUCACCUUUGUGCAUCACCGCGUGGGUCCCCUUUGCGGGAGGGCUCGCGUUUUCACAUAAUAACUCGAUACAGUGUAGAAUGUUUCUUUUGCGGUCACACGCAAUCAAUACAACUUUCAACAACGGAUCUCUUGGCUCUCGCAUCGAUGAAGAACGCAGCGAAAUGCGAUACGUAAUGUGAAUUGCAGAAUUCAGUGAAUCAUCGAAUCUUUGAACGCACCUUGCGCCCCUUGGCAUUCCGAGGGGCACACCCGUUUGAGUGUCGUGAAUUCUUCAAAACCCUUUUUUUCUUCGAACCAUCGUGGUCGGGAAAAGGAUUUUUGGACUUGGAGGUUUAAUGCUCGCCCUUUCUUUUGAAAGCGAGCUCCUCUCAAAUGAAUUAGUGGGGUCCGCUUUGCUGAUCCUUGACGUGAUAAAAUGUUUCUACGUUUUGGGUUUAGCACUGUCGCUUGNAUGCCUGCUCCUAACCCGUCUCAUUGACAAUGAUGGUGCUCUGGUCACUGCCGUCUACAUCGGCGGGAGGNUGGACCCACAAAAGAAAAACCUUGA
rnacentral:rRNA from 1 species